rnacentral:ncRNA from 1 species
AAGAUUGAUUUAUUUUGGAGAAGUCAGCAGAAGUCAUAGUAGUUGAUAAUCUGAUAUAUCAACGAAGGAC